rnacentral:rRNA from 1 species
UACGGAGGGUGCAAGCGUUAUCCGGAUUCGCUGGGUUUAAAGGGUGCGUAGGUGGGCUGGUAAGUCAGUGGUGAAAUCUCCGAGCUUAACUUGGAAACUGCCAUUGAUACUAUCAGUCUUAAAUAUUGUGGAGGUCAGCGGAAUAUGUCAUGUAGCGGUGAAAUGCUUAGAGAUGACAUAGAACACCAAUUGCGAAGGCAGCUGACUACGCAUAUAUUGACACUGAGGCACGAAAGCGUGGGGAUCAAACAGG